rnacentral:sRNA from 1 species
CUUGGACAAACCGAGUUGUUUGCUGGUGUAGACGAGCUGGGCGACGAGAUAGGUGGACUAUGCAGUCAAUGGACGAACUGCCGCUAGGCGAGGAGGUAGAUGAGUUUUGCAGUCGAGGGAUGAGCUGAUAGCUAGACGAGGAGUUGGUCGAGCUGAGGAAGAGCUUGAAGACGAGCUGAGGAGCUUGAUGACGAGCUGAGGAGCUUGAGGACGAGCCGAGGAGCUUGAAGAGCUUAAAGGCGAUCUGAAGAGCUUGACGAAGAGGAGCGAGCUAACGAGCUUCUUGAGAAGGGCGAGACCCCAAUUCUUGAGAAGGGCGAGACCCCAAAUACAAUCAACAAUGUAUGCUUUUUUCCGUUUCUU